UACGUAGGGUGCGAGCGUUGUCCGGAAUUAUUGGGCGUAAAGGGCUCGUAGGCGGUUUGUCGCGUCGGGAGUGAAAACCUUGGGCUUAACUCAGGGCUUGCUUUCGAUACGGGCAGACUAGAGGUAUGCAGGGGAGAACGGAAUUCCUGGUGUAGCGGUGAAAUGCGCAGAUAUCAGGAGGAACACCGGUGGCGAAGGCGGUUCUCUGGGCAUGAUCUGACGCUGAGAAGCGAAAGUGUGGGGAGCGAACAGG
rnacentral:rRNA from 1 species